rnacentral:rRNA from 1 species
UAAGAAGUCCUGCCUGCCCUGUGACUAUAUGUUUAACGGCUGCGGUAUCCUGACCGUACGAAGGUAGCGCAAUCACUUGUCUUUUAAAUAGAGACCUGUAUGAAUGGCAAAACGAGGGCUCAACUGUCUCCUUUCUCAAGUCAAUGAAAUUGAUCUCCCCGUGCAGAAGCGGGGAUAAACCCAUAAGACGAGAAGACCCUAUGGAGCUUUAGAUGCAAGGACAGAUCACGUUAAGCACCUCUUAACAAAGAACCAAACCGAACGAACCCUGUCCCAGUAUCUUUGGUUGGGGCGACCGCGAGGAAAAACAAAACCCCCGCAUGGACUGAGGACACACCAUUCUCCCCUCUCCUCACAGCUAAGAGUUUCCACUCUAAGAACCAGAACUUCUGACCUACAAAGAUCCGGCAAUGCCGAUCAACGGACCCAGUUACCCUAGGGAUAACAGCGCAAUCCCCUUUUAGAGCCCAUAUCGACAAGGGGGUUUACGACCUCGAUGUUGGAUCAGGACAUCCUAAUGGUGCAGCCGCUAUUAAGGGUUCGUUUGUUCAACG